rnacentral:rRNA from 1 species
GCUAGUCGAACGGUAACAGGAAGCAGCUUGCUGCUUUGCUGACGAGUGGCGGACGGGUGAGUAAUGUCUGGGAAACUGCCUGAUGGAGGGGGAUAACUACUGGAAACGGUGGCUAAUACCGCAUAACGUCGCAAGACCAAAGAGGGGGACCUUCGGGCCUCUUGCCAUCAGAUGUGCCCAGAUGGGAUUAGCUUGUUGGUGAGGUAACGGCUCACCAAGGCGACGAUCCCUAGCUGGUCUGAGAGGAUGACCAGCCACACUGGAACUGAGACACGGUCCAGACUCCUACGGGAGGCAGCAGUGGGGAAUAUUGCACAAUGGGCGCAAGCCUGAUGCAGCCAUGCCGCGUGUAUGAAGAAGGCCUUCGGGUUGUAAAGUACUUUCAGCGGGGAGGAAGGUGUUGUGGUUAAUAACCGCAGCAAUUGACGUUACCCGCAGAAGAAGCACCGGCUAACUCCGUGCCAGCAGCCGCGGUAAUACGGAGGGUGCAAGCGUUAAUCGGAAUUACUGGGCGUAAAGCGCACGCAGGCGGUCUGUCAAGUCGGAUGUGAAAUCCCCGGGCUCAACCUGGGAACUGCAUUCGAAACUGGCAGGCUUGAGUCUUGUAGAGGGGGGUAGAAUUCCAGGUGUAGCGGUGAAAUGCGUAGAGAUCUGGAGGAAUACCGGUGGCGAAGGCGGCCCCCUGGACAAAGACUGACGCUCAGGUGCGAAAGCGUGGGGAGCAAACAGGAUUAGAUACCCUGGUAGUCCACGCCGUAAACGAUGUCUACUUGGAGGUUGUGCCCUUGAGGCGUGGCUUCCGGAGCUAACGCGUUAAGUAGACCGCCUGGGGAGUACGGCCGCAAGGUUAUAACUCAAAUGAAUUGACGGGGGCCCGCACAAGCGGUGGAGCAUGUGGUUUUAAUUCGAUGCAACGCGAAGAACCUUACCUGGUCUUGACAUCCACAGAACUAUUCCAGAGAUGGAUUGGUGCCUUCGGGAACCGUGAGACAGUGCUGCAUGGCUGUCGUCAGCUCGUGUUGUGAA